CCUACGGGAGGCAGCAGUGGGGAAUAUUGCACAAUGGGCGAAAGCCUGAUGCAGCAACGCCGCGUGAAGGAAGACGGUUUUCGGAUUGUAAACUUCUGUUCUUAGUGAAGAAUAAUGACGGUAACUAAGGAGCAAGCCACGGCUAACUACGUGCCAGCAGCCGCGGUAAUACGUAGGUGGCAAGCGUUGUCCGGAAUUACUGGGUGUAAAGGGAGCGUAGGCGGGAAGCCAAGUCAGCUGUGAAAACUACGGGCUUAACCUGUAGACUGCAGUUGAAACUGGCUUUCUUGAGUGAAGUAGAGGAUGGCGGAAUUCCGAGUGUAGCGGUGAAAUGCGUAGAUAUUCGGAGGAACACCGGUGGCGAAGGCGGACAACUGGGCUUUAACGGAAGCGGAGGCUCGAAAGUGUGGGGAGCAAAGAGGAUUAGAUACCCCAGUAGUG
rnacentral:rRNA from 1 species